CAAGUGAGCUGAAAUUACUGUGGUAAUAGGGUCUAUAGCAUAAACUAUGGUUAAUUCUCUUGCCUGACUACAGGUGGCAGUGUAGAAGCCAAGAACAAAAAUUGGCAGAAAUUUUCUGUGCAUGAGAAAAUGAAGAGAGUGUACUCAUGACUAAGCACAGGAACCUGAAAAACCACAGGCUUUAGUCAGGUGGUCAGUGAUGACUAAUCAGCCCACCAAGAAGGUGCUUCAAUGUCCAGCACAUUGGAUUCCCCAGUGGUUACCCAGUGAUGCUGCAUGAGGCAUUCUGCAAACAAAACAAGGAUAUUUCCUCUUAGAGAUGGAAAGUGGACUUCAGUGUUGAGAUGGUGAAGCAAAUAGAUGACUCCAAGUCUGUAAAUGGAGACAUAUACUUCAUUCAGAAGAAAAUGCUGCCGCACAGAUGGUAGGAAGAUGUUUUGAUGUGUGCUGGAAAACAUUACCCCCAAGUCUCUUAUCUGGAAACC